rnacentral:rRNA from 1 species
GGCUUAGAGUUUGAUCAUGGCUCAGGAUGAACGCUGGCGGCGUGCCUAACACAUGCAAGUCGAGCGAAGCGCUUAACUUUGAUUCUUCGGAUGAAGAGUUCUGCGACUGAGCGGCGGACGGGUGAGUAACACGUAGGCAACCUGCCUCACACAGGGGGAUAACAGUUAGAAAUGACUGCUAAUACCGCAUAAGCGCACAGGGCUGCAUGGCCUGGUGUGAAAAGGUCCGGCGGUGUGAGAUGGACCUGCGUCUGAUUAGCCAGUUGGCGGGGUAACGGCCCACCAAAGCGACGAUCAGUAACCGGCCUGAGAGGGUGGACGGCCACAUUGGGACUGAGACACGGCCCAGACUCCUACGGGAGGCAGCAGUGGGGAAUAUUGCACAAUGGGGGAAACCCUGAUGCAGCGACGCCGCGUGAGCGAAGAAGUAUCUCGGUAUGUAAAGCUCUAUCAGCAGGGAAGAAGAUGACCGUACCUGACUAAGAAGCACCGGCUAAAUACGUGCCAGCAGCCGCGGUAAUACGUAUGGUGCAAGCGUUAUCCGGAUUUACUGGGUGUAAAGGGAGCGUUAACGGAGAAGCCAGUCUGGAGUGAAAGCCCGGGGCUCAACCCCGGGACUGCUUUGGAAACUGUUUUUUCUUUGAGUGCCGGAGAAGUAAGCGGAAUUUCCUAGUGUAGCGGUGAAAUGCGUAGAUAUUACGAGGAACACCAGUGGCGAAAGCGGCUGUACUGGACCGUACUGACGCUGANGCUCGAAAGCGUGGGGAGAAACAGGAUUAGAUACCCUGGUAGUCCACGCGGUAAACGAUGAAUACUAAGUGUCCGGGAGCAAACUUCUUUCCGUGUCGCACUCUACGCACAAAUUUUCCCA